UCUAGUCUGGCAGGUUAUUGUCAUGGUUUCAUUGUAAUAUGAUAUAGUCUAGGAGGUUAGUGUGAAGGUUUCUAUGUCUUAUGAUGUAGUCUGGGAUGUUAGUGUCAAGGUUUCUUUGUGUUAUGAUGUAGUCUGGGAGGUUAGUGUCAAGGUUUCUAUGUCUUAUGAUGUAGUCUGGGAUGUUAGUGUCAAGGUUUCUAUGUCUUAUGAUGUAGUCUGGGAGGUUAGUGUCAAGGUUUCUAUGUCUCAUAAUGUAGUCUUGGAGGUUAGUGUCAAGGUUUCUAUGUCUUAUGAUGUAGUCUGGGAUGUUAGUGUCAAGGUUUCUAUGUCUUAUGAUGUAGGCUGGGAUGUUAGUGUCAAGGUUUCUAUGUCUUAUGAUGUAGUCUGGGAUGUUAGUGUCAAGGUUUCUAUGUCUUAUGAUGUAGUCUAGGAGGUUAUUGUCUGGGUUUCUAAGUCUCAUAAUGUAGUCUUGGAGGUUAGUGUCAAGCUUUCUAUGUGUUAUAAUGAAGUCUGGGAUGUUAGUGUCAAGGUUUCUAUGUGUUAUGAUGAAGUCUGGGAGGUUAUUGUCUGGGUUUCAAAGUCUUUUUAUGAAUUUUGCGAGGUGUCAAGGUUUCUAUGUCUUAUGAUGAUGUCUACUGGUUUACUCAAUAUUUUACCAUAUCACCUUAAUGGCUGGAGUGAGAUGGGAUUCAUAUAUCAAUAUAAUGUAUUGUAAUAUUAUAUAGUAUAUAUGAAAGGAAUGAACAUGUAAAGC